GCUCAACCGGGGAGGGUCAUUGGAAACUGGGAGACUUGAGUGCAGAAGAGGCGAGUGGAAUGCAAUGUGUGGCGGUGAAAUGCGUAAGUAUGUGGAGGAACACCAGUGACGAAGGAAGAUCACUGGUCAGUAACUAACGCUGAGGCUCGAAAGAGUGAGGAACAAACAGGAUUAGAUACCCUGGUAGUCCACGCCGUAAACGAUGAGUGCUAAGUGUUGGAGGGUUUCCGCCCUUCAGUGCUGCAGCUAACGCAUUAAGCACUCCGCCUGGGGAGUACGACCGCAAGGUUGAAACUCAAAGGAAUUGACGGGGGCCCGCACAAGCGGUGGAGCAUGUGGUUUAAUUCGAAGCAACGCGAAGAACCUUACCAGGUCUUGACAUCCUUUGACCACUCUAGAGAUAGAGCUUCCCCUUCGGGGGGCAAAGUGACAGGUGGUGCAUGGUUGUCGUCAGCUCGUGUCGUGAGAUGUUGGGUUAAGUCCCGCAACGAGCGCAACCCUUAUUGUUAGUUGCCAUCAUUCAGUUGGGCACUCUAGCAAGACUGCCGGUGACAAACCGGAGGAAGGUGGGGAUGACGUCAAAUCAUCAUGCCCCUUAUGACCUGGGCUACACACGUGCUACAAUGGGAAGUACAACGAGUCGCGAAGUCGCGAGGCUAAGCUAAUCUCUUAAAGCUUCUCUCAGUUCGGAUUGCAGGCUGCAACUCGCCUGCAUGAAGCCGGAAUCGCUAGUAAUCGCGGAUCAGCACGCCGCGGUGAAUACGUUCCCGGGCCUUGUACACACCGCCCGUCACACCACGAGAGUUUGUAACACCCGAAGUCGGUGAGGUAACCUUUUNGGAGCCAGCCGCCUAAGGUGGGAUAGAUGAUUGGGGUGAAGUCGUAACAAGGUAGCCGUAUCGGAAGGUGCGGCUGGAUCACCUCCUUUCUAAGGAA
rnacentral:rRNA from 1 species